UACAGAGACUGCAAGCGUUAUUCGGAUUCACUGGGCGUAAAGGGUGCGCAGGCGGCCGAGUGUGUGAGGCGUGAAAGCCCGGGGCUUAACCCCGGAAUUGCACCUCAAACUACACGGCUAGAGCAUUGGAGAGGGUAGCAGAAUUCAUGGUGUAGCAGUGAAAUGCGUAGAUAUCAUGAGGAAUACCAGAGGCGAAGGCGGCUACCUGGACAAUUGCUGACGCUCAGGCACGAAAGCGUGGGGAGCGAACAGG
rnacentral:rRNA from 1 species